GGUCCCUAUCUGUCGCGGGCGCAGGAAAUUUGAGAGGAGCUGUCCUUAGUACGAGAGGACCGGGAUGGACGUACCGCUGGUGUACCAGUUGUUCCGCCAGGAGCACCGCUGGGUAGCCAAGUACGGAAGGGAUAAGCGCUGAAAGCAUCUAAGCGCGAAGCCCCCCUCAAGAUGAGAUUUCCCGCUGUAAAGGUAAGACCCCUGGAAGAUGACCAGGUUGAUAGGUUCGAGGUGGAAGCGCGGCAACGCGUGGAGCUGACGAAUACUAAUCGGUCGAGGGCUUAUCCUAAA
rnacentral:rRNA from 1 species